UCUGAAAGAGCAGUUGGUGUU
rnacentral:miRNA from 1 species